UUUCCGUAGGUGAACCUGCGGAAGGAUCAUUAUUGUAUAACCGAGGUGCAAGGGCUGUCGCUGACCCGAAAGGUCGUGCACGCCCGAGUGCCCUCACACACAUCCAUCUCACCCCUAUGUGCACCACCGCGUGGGUCCCCCUUUGGCUUGUUCGGAGGGGGGCUUACGUUUUCACACAAACUUUGUAUGCAGUGUAGAAUGUAUUUUUUGUUUUUGCGAUCACGCAAUCAAUACAACUUUCAACAACGGAUCUCUUGGCUCUC
rnacentral:misc_RNA from 1 species